rnacentral:rRNA from 1 species
UCGUGAAAUUGUAGUAACAUACAAGAGCGUAACGUGUGAAGCGGGUGCUUGCACUCGUGGAUCAGUGGCGAACGGGUGAGUAACACGUGAGUAACCUGCCCUCCACUCUGGGAUAAGCGCUGGAAACGGCGUCUAAUACUGGAUACGACCGACCCUCGCAUGGGGUGUUGGUGGAAAGAUUUAUCGGUGGUGGAUGGACUCGCGGCCUAUCAGCUUGUUGGUGGGGUAAUGGCCUACCAAGGCGACGACGGGUAGCCGGCCUGAGAGGGCGACCGGCCACACUGGGACUGAGACACGGCCCAGACUCCUACGGGAGGCAGCAGUGGGGAAUAUUGCACAAUGGGCGAAAGCCUGAUGCAGCGACGCCGCGUGAGGGAUGACGGCCUUCGGGUUGUAAACCUCUUUCAGCAGGGAAGAAGCUUUUGUGACGGUACCUGCAGAAGAAGCACCGGCUAACUACGUGCCAGCAGCCGCGGUAAUACGUAGGGUGCGAGCGUUGUCCGGAAUUAUUGGGCGUAAAGAGCUUGUAGGCGGUUUGUCGCGUCUGCUGUGAAAAUUCAGGGCUUAACCCUGGACGUGCAGUGGGUACGGGCAGACUAGAGUGUGGUAGGGGAGACUGGAAUUCCUGGUGUAGCGGUGGAAUGCGCAGAUAUCAGGAGGAACACCGAUGGCGAAGGCAGGUCUCUGGGCCAUUACUGACGCUGAGAAGCGAAAGCAUGGGGAGCGAACAGGAUUAGAUACCCUGGUAGUCCAUGCCGUAAACGUUGGGCGCUAGGCGUGGGUCUCAUUCCACGAGAUCCGUGUCGCAGCUAACGCAUUAAGCGCCCCGCCUGGGAGUACGGCCGCAAGGCUAAAACUCAAAGAAUUGACGGGGCUCGCCAUAAGCGGCGGAGCAUGCUGAUUAAUUUCGAUGCACGCGAAGGAACCUUUACUCAGGCUUGACAUGCCACCGGAUCGCCUCANAGAUGGGGUUUCCC